AGAGGUAUCACAUCUGACGCCGCGUGACGUCAAAUCGAGGGACCUCCCAAAGGCCUGGGGCGGUCGCCCCGAUUCGCCGUACCCCUAGGGACGGCUCUGGUUAAGACUAUACCAGCUCAGUAACAUUCUUCUUAGAUUGUCUUUAUCACUGGAUGUCUAUCUUCGUGUGUGUGUGUGUGCCUCUCUCCGUGUGUAUCUCUGUGUGUAUUUCCAUCUCUAGGUAUGGAGAAUGUAUGGAUAACGUCCCGCAUAACAGGAUCCUCAACGGCUGUGCCAUGAUCGUCACCAUCUUCCCAAAAACUCCACCUCCAGACUCGACUUUUGCGUGAAGAAUUGCAAGCAAUCAGAUGCGCUUCUCGCAGCCGUCUGGAACCCUCUUCCGAUAUGAUUUCCCCAGCACCUGUGAUUAGCACGGUUGGCUACGUACGUUAUGUAGCCAACAUACAUACAUUAUAUUUCUAAGCAUUAAACAGCAUACGAGGAACAGUCCGAAAUGCCAAACUCCUUAAGAUUUCGCACUGUAAAAGGGACUGUCUACAUAAUAUUCGAAGCAGAAGAGGAUCCAAUAUAUAUUGAGAUGGAAGGUAUUUACGAACGUAUGCUGGAGUUACCUGCCAUGAUCGUGACGAGAGACAACUCACAGCCAUGCAACAGAGGAAACAAUCCUCGUCACAUGCCCACGAUUGAAUCACCACCAAAUGGGACAUCGCUACAGAGAGGUGGUAGACUGGAACUGCGUUUCCCACAUUUUCGAAACUUGGUACGCCUUUUUCGAAAAAAGAACUCAACCUAAAUGGCAUGUUCCGAGGGGUUCACACCUGCACCCUCUAUGGGAUUAACUUUCUCUGCAUCAAAUGAUGCCCAAAUGCAUUUUCCAUCGAAGCAAACAAACUCAUACGGUUCGAAUCCUACAUCCCAGAGAUGAAACGUCUUCCUCGCAGGCCCUUACGGCACAUUUGCCCAAUGUUAACUACAGCCACAUCACACACACAGACACUCUGGCUCGUAGCAUAGCCGGCGCAUUGCACUUGAUUAUUGAAAUGCCACCGUUAACUCGGAUAUCAGAUUAACGCCUCUCAAAAAAGACAUGACAGCGGCUCCAAAGCAGCGCCAUCCUGGCCAUUAGGCCUGAUCAUACUGUUGGAUAUCGACCUUUUUCCAAAAUUAAUAUCAAUAAUAUUUGCAUAUAUUUUUAAUGACCCAAAAUUAAUUAAUAAAAACACGUAAACCAGAGCCAGCAAAAAAAACAGAUGUCGAUCGUAACAGGGCCAUUAAACCAGAAAAUCCAGGAGAUGAGCUAUACACAGUAAUAAACCCAGUCAUAGAGAGGGUCGCCCCCUUCCCCCCCAGGGUCGUAUAACACAGAUAGAUUUACAAACACACAAACACGAACGCACACACACACACACAAUCCACGCCCCUCCCCACCGCGCAGAGCGGAGAUUCUUCUUUUUGAAUAUAACGGCCCACCAUCAUCUCGAAAGUCAAGUCCAUUCCAGUUAAGUUCGAUACAACGAGUUCAACAGCCGGAGAGCGGCAGAAGAGAUGGCGAGAGCGAGAGGCUGGCUCUGAGGAUCCCGCGAUCAACCGAGCAUGGCGAGACUCACAGAAUUGGCGAGGUGCCACCGAGUGUGAGUUCAGGGCUGAGGGACGAAGUAUCACUCGAAACUUUAUUCCUACAUCAAGUGCCAGCCAUCCAGCAGCGGAAAAAGCUUGGCCAGCCGCCAACAAACAAAGUGUCAGCAUCUCCACAGAGAGAGCGCGUGCGACGUGGCUCA